AGGUGUCCAGAGUCUCGAAAAGGCUGCUGUGAGAAGCAGGCAAGGGUCCCGCUCUCGGAGUUCGUUCUGUGCAACUCUGCUUUCAGCGGCUUUCGGCAUUGGGCAUCUGCUCCUGUUUUGCUGAAAGUCAAGAAGAGUCCAAAGCUUAAAAAAAGGCCAGAUUUCUUUCAGGAUCUUUUCCCCAGAUGUUCCAAGAGAGGCCUGUGCAUUGCUCCAGCAUGCUGCCCUCGGCUGCCCUCUUAUCGUCUCCAAAUAAGACUGAGUGCUUUUAGGAAGAGGGUUUCUUUCUUUCUUUUUUGUUUUCAUGCGCAGCUCAUGAACGUUCCCAGGUCGAAUCAGAGCUGCAACCGCCAGCCUGCACCACAGCCUCGGCAACACCAGAUCUGAGCUGCGUCUGUGACCUACAGCACAGCAGUGCAAGGCCAGAUCCUUAACCCACGGAGCAAGGCCGGGGAUCGAACCUGCAUCCUCAUGGACACGAGUUGGGCUCGCUUCUGCUGAGCCCUGAUGGGACCUCCGAGGGUUUCUUUCUUGACGUCCGUGUUCCCACAGAGACGAGGUUCACUCCUGGUAGUGGGAUAAAAAGCUUUUCUGUGCAACCUUUUGUUGAAGUUCCACCCUGGACCCUCAGGCAGAGGGAUCACCGGGGGAGCUGGGUAAGCCCAGAUUUUCCUGGGCAGUCCCCCCAGAGAGCCCUGCCAACAUCACAUUUCCUGGAGGCUCGGCAUUAGCCAAACCUUCUCUGGGCUGUCUUCCUUGGGAGGGUUUGCACCAGGAUAAAAUGCUCUGAAAGCUGGCAGAAACUCAUGGGUUUACUUGCAUGUUCCCUAGUACUCAGGAAAAAUGCUGAGCAGAAAUGCUGGGUUUUACAACCACUUUUUUUGUUUUAUUUUAGUGAGUUAGGUUCAUCUGAGUUAUUCUCCCUGGGUUUUCUACACUGCGGAAAACUGACUAAAUCCACUCGGCAUGUCUCACCCGCUGCAGUCCAGUGCUUGGAACAUGUGGACCCGAUGACAUGGGGGCGGCUCUCACAAGCCUCUCUCAGAGCAGCUGGCUGGACGCCCUCCUCCUAGACGCCCCGUCACUACUGCAGCAAAUUAAAUGUCUCUCUCUUUCUAAUCA